rnacentral:rRNA from 1 species
UACCAGCACCCCGAGUGGUCGGGACGUUUAUUGGGCCUAAAGCAUCCGUAGCCGGUUCUACAAGUCUUCCCGUUAAAUCCAACUGCUUAACAGGUGGGCCUGCGGAAGAUACUAUAGAGCUAGGAGGCGGGAGAGGCAAGCGGUACUCGAUGGGUAGGGGUAAAAUCCGUUGAUCCAUUGAAGACCACCAGUGGCGAAGGCGGCUAUCUGGACGGACACUGAC